AACGAACGCUGGCGGCAGGCUUAACACAUGCAAGUCGAACGCACCUCUCGGGGUGAGUGGCAGACGGGUGAGUAACGCGUGGGAAUCUACCCUUCUCUACGGGAUAGCUCCGGGAAACUGGAAUUAAUACCGUAUACGUCCUGAGGGAGAAAGAUUUAUCGGGGAAGGAUGAGCCCGCGUUGGAUUAGCUAGUUGGUGGGGUAAAGGCCUACCAAGGCGACGAUCCAUAGCUGGUCUAAGAGGAUGAUCAGCCACAUUGGGACUGAGACACGGCCCAAACUCCUACGGGAGGCAGCAGUGGGGAAUAUUGGACAAUGGGCGCAAGCCUGAUCCAGCCAUGCCGCGUGAGUGAUGAAGGCCCUAGGGUUGUAAAGCUCUUUCAGUGGGGACGAUAAUGACGGUACCCACAGAAGAAGCCCCGGCUAACUUCGUGCCAGCCGCCGCAGUAA
rnacentral:rRNA from 1 species